rnacentral:tRNA from 1 species
AGGAUUAUAGUUUAUAAAAAAACUUUUGAUUUGCAUUCAAAUAAUAUUGAAUUACUUCAAUUUAUCUUA